AUAAAUAUCAUGAAAAAAAUUGAGUUAGCUAAUUCUUGUUGGAGUUAUCAAUAGCAAAACAUGUUCCGGAUCAACACUAUAGCUUUUGCGUUAUUGUUUCUAACAAUGCUUUUCGUUGGUGGCGACUGCAGACCACAACUACCCCUUCCAGUGGGUCUACCGCUUGGCGCUGCAACCGGCACUUUGACAGGUGCCGCCGGGGGUUUGCCUGUUGUUGGCGGCGUGGCACAAGGCGUUCUUACACCUGUAGGUCAAAUUCCCCAAAGUUUGCCAGUGGUUGGAGGUGUUUUGAACGGUUAAUACAUUCUUUAUGAAAGGAUUAACGUUAAAUUAAAUUAAUGUAAAAUUAACUAAAAAUUCGUAUAAUUAUUAAAUAUUACUGGGGUUUUGGAAAAAAAAAUAAUUUCUGAUUAGAGCAAUAGCUUUGGUGGAGGUAGUAGAGGCGUUUGGAUGUUUUAUUCCAAAGAGAAUUUGUGAAUUGGUGUAUGUAUUUUGUGCAAAAGGGAUGUCCACUUGGAUGGCAUUACCUUAUUUUAUCUUAUUAAGUGUGAGAUCCAAGGUGUUUCAGCAUAACUCCCGUAAAUGUGAAAAUGUCAAUAGGGAAGAACUGGAUUGUACUUCGUUUUCUUUCAAAGCACUGCGGAUGAAAACGGUGUGUUUUUAGACUUGUAUAUGUUUACCUCGGGUCAGAAGGAUCUGCUGAAGUGCUAGUAGCUGACAAACACCAAGCAGGUGAGGACUUCAAAUGUAAAUAGAUGCCAAAAUAUGGACACACGUGAAAAGAGAGUAUAUAAAAAUUUAAAUGUCGACAGAUCGGGGUUAAUAUAGAAAAAAGUAAUAAUGAUAUCUGUGAAACCUUUCAGUAAAAGCUAACUUAAAAUUGUUCCACUAAAGUUUGCAUAUAUUAAAGUUUAGAGCCAUAAAAUAAUUCGAAUGGCCAUACAAUGAAGUUGAUCGAUAUGGCUGUAUCACUUUGUGGCCAUCACAGAAUGUGCUAAUGGUAUCAUUAUGAAAGAAAGGGUAGCCAAACCUUUUUAAAACAUGUUGGGCUGACUGACCAUGUCAUAAGUAAAAGAAAACUUUGGCUAAA